rnacentral:rRNA from 1 species
AACGAACGCUGGCGGCAGGCUUAACACAUGCAAGUCGAACGCCCCGCAAGGGGAGUGGCAGACGGGUGAGUAACGCGUGGGAACAUACCCUUUCCUGCGGAAUAGCUCUGGGAAACUGGAAUUAAUACCGCAUACGCCCUACGGGGGAAAGAUUUAUCGGGGAAGGAUUGGCCCGCGUUGGAUUAGCUAGUUGGUGGGGUAAAGGCCUACCAAGGCGACGAUCCAUAGCUGGUCUGAGAGGAUGAUCAGCCACAUUGGGACUGAGACACGGCCCAAGCUCCUGCGAGAGGCAGCAGUGAGGAAUAUUGGACAAUGGGCGCAAGCCUGAUCCAGCCAUGCCGCGUGAGUGAUGAAGGCCUUAGGGUUGUAAAGCUCUUUCACCGAUGAAGAUAAUGACGGUAGUCGGAGAAGAAGCCCCGGCUAACAUCGUGCCAGCCGCCGCCGUAACAC